AAAACAUGGCUCUUUGCUCACAUAAAUAUAAAGAGUCGAGCCUGCCCAGUGAAUUUUUAACGGCCGCGGUACUCUGACCGUGCAAAGGUAGCAUAAUCAUUUGCCUUAUAAUUGAAGGCUAGUAUGAAUGGUUUGACGAGAGCAACACUGUCUCCUUUUUAUUUUCAAGAACUUAACUUUUAGGUGAAGAGGCCUAAAUUUUAUUGAAGGACAAGAAGACCCUGUCGAGCUUAAAAGACAUUAUAGGAGUCUAGUAUAUUUUUAGAUAAAUUUUUCUAUCAAGCUUUUUAGUUGGGGCGACUAAGGAACAAAAAAAGCUUCUUUCCAAUAAUAAACAAUCAUGUUUAGAUCCGAUAAUAGCGAUUAAAGAAAUUAGUUACCGCAGGGAUAACAGCAUAAUCUCUCUUAAGAGACCUAAUCGAAAGAGGGGGUUGUGACCUCGAUGUUGGACUAGAAUAUCCUAAAGAUGCAGA
rnacentral:rRNA from 1 species